CUAAUACCGGAUAGGAGCGUCCACCGCAUGGUGGGUGUUGGAAAGAUUUAUCGGUUUUGGAUGGACUCGCGGCCUAUCAGCUUGUUGGUGAGGUAACGGCUCACCAAGGCGACGACGGGUAGCCGGCCUGAGAGGGUGACCGGCCACACUGGGACUGAGAUACGGCCCAGACUCCUACGGGAGGCAGCAGUGGGGAAUAUUGCACAAUGGGCGCAAGCCUGAUGCAGCGACGCCGCGUGAGGGAUGACGGCCUUCGGGUUGUAAACCUCUUUCAGUAGGGAAGAAGCGAAAGUGACGGUACCUGCAGAAGAAGCACCGGCUAACUACGUGCCAGCAGCCGCGGUAAUACGUAGGGUGCGAGCGUUAUCCGGAAUUAUUGGGCGUAAAGAGCUCGUAGGCGGUUUGUCGCGUCUGUCGUGAAAGUCCGGGGCUUAACCCCGGAUCUGCGGUGGGUACGGGCAGACUAGAGUGCAGUAGGGGAGACUGGAAUUCCUGGUGUAGCGGUGGAAUGCGCAGAUAUCAGGAGGAACACCGAUGGCGAAGGCAGGUCUCUGGGCUGUAACUGACGCUGAGGAGCGAAAGCAUGGGGAGCGAACAGGAUUAGAUACCCUGGUAGUCCAUGCCGUAAACGUUGGGCACUAGGUGUGGGGACCAUUCCACGGUUUCCGCGCCGCAGCUAACGCAUUAAGUGCCCCGCCUGGGGAGUACGGCCGCAAGGCUAAAACUCAAAGGAAUUGACGGGGGCCCGCACAAGCGGCGGAGCAUGCGGAUUAAUUCGAUGCAACGCGAAGAACCUUACCAAGGCUUGACAUGUUCUCGAUCGCCGUAGAGAUACGGUUUCCCCUUUGGGGUGGGUUCACAGGUGGUGCAUGGUUGUCGUCAGCUCGUGUCGUGAGAUGUUGGGUUAAGUCUCGCAACGAGCGCAACCCUCGUUCCAUGUUGCCAGCACGUCCUGGUGGGGACUCAUGGGAGACUGCCGGGGUCAACUCGGAGGAAGGUGAGGACGACGUCAAAUCAUCAUGCCCCUUAUGUCUUGGGCUUCACGCAUGCUACAAUGGCCGGUACAAUGGGUUGCGAUACUGUGAGGUGGAGCUAAUCCCAAAAAGCCGGUCUCAGUUCGGAUUGGGGUCUGC
rnacentral:rRNA from 1 species